rnacentral:rRNA from 1 species
GAUGAACGCUGGCGGCGUGCCUAAUACAUGCAAGUCGAGCGAACGGACGAGAAGCUUGCUUCUCUGAUGUUAGCGGCGGACGGGUGAGUAACACGUGGAUAACCUACCUAUAAGACUGGGAUAACUUCGGGAAGCCGGAGCUAAUACCGGAUGAUAUUUUGAACCGCAUGGUUCAAAAGUGAAAGACGGUCUUGCUGUCACUUAUAGAUGGAUCCGCGCUGCAUUAGCUAGUUGGUAAGGUAACGGCUUACCAAGGCAACGAUGCAUAGCCGACCUGAGAGGGUGAUAGGCCACACUGGAACGGAGACACGGUCCAGACUCCUACGGGAGGCAGCAGUAGGGAAUCUUACGCAAUGGGCGAAAGCCUGACGGAGCAACGCCGCGUGAGUGAUGAAGGUCUUCGGAUCGUAAAACUCUGUUAUUAGGGAAGAACAGAUGUGUAAGUAACUGUGCACAUCUUGACGGUACCUAAUCAGAAAGCCACGGCUAACUACGUG